CCUACGGGCGGCAGCAGUGAGGAAUAUUGGUCAAUGGCCGGAAGGCUGAACCAGCCAAGCCGCGUGAGGGAGGAAGGCGCAGAGCGUCGCAGACCUCUUUUGCCGGGGGACAAAAGGCCGGACUCGUCCGGUCCUGAGGGUACCCGGAGAAAAAGCAUCGGCUAACUCCGUGCCAGCAGCCGCGGUAAUACGGGGGAUGCGAGGGUUGUCCGGAUUCAUUGGGUUAAAGGGGUGCGCAGGCGGGUCUUUAAGCCGGCGGGAAAACCGCGGGGCUCAACCCCGCCGAGCCGUCGGAACUGGGGGCCUUGAGUGCGGGGGAGGUAUGCGGAAUGCGCGGUGUAGCGGUGAAAUGCAUAGAUA
rnacentral:rRNA from 1 species